AGUGCAAUGUAAUCUUGAUAAAGAAAGCAAAAUAAGGAAUGAGGAGUAAAGGGAACUGCGUUUCCCUCCUCUCUAUCUCCUCCCAAAGUGCAACAGGCUCUGCUUUAUAUAUGAAGACACACCAUGCCCCAGGUGGCUCCAAUACAUGUUGAUGACAACGACCCCGCAUACUGACACCUACAACAGAACACACAUGAACACUCAGCAACCUAAUAGAGACAAGGACGUCCCGGGGACGUCACAUUCAUUAAAGAAAAAGAGUAAGAUUAUGUUUAGUGGAGGCAGGCAAAACAGGUGAGCAGUCCAACACAAAGGCAAAAAAAAUCCAAAAAUGGAAGCAGGCAAAAAAUCUAGAAAUCCACAGCAGAGGCAGGGAUGCUUGACAAAAUGAAGAAGACAAAAAAUGAAAUGACAACAGACAAAGGGAAACAUAGUGACUUAAAUACACAAGUGAGGGGCUGAUAACAAGACACUGAUAACAAGGGCAGACAACCAGAUGGGAAAACACAGGAAGUGAAAUCAACAAAGACAUGUGAGGAGGAACACUUUCAAAAUAAAACAAGAAAUAGCAAAUAUCAAACCCAAACCAUGACAAAUGCUGAUUAGAUUUUUUAAAUCUGGUGUCUGGGGCAAAAUUCCUGUGCUGGUGGACCUGUGGGGAUGCGUUUAACAUCAAUCGUGACCGGUUUGCCAGAGUUUAAGGGGGAAGCAACUGUAGUGACAGAGUUGGCUACAGAGCCUGUUGUCAUGACUCCUGCAUCGUCACCUGAGUUUGAGAAUGAGUGGGUGUGUUGUUGAUUUGUUUUUUCCCUUUGGGUGAGUGAGGCAUGCUUGGUGUGUUUUUUGUUUCUGUUUUUUCUCUCCUCCCUUCUCUGGGCGUCCUGGGCGUGUCUGGCUUCCUGGGUUGGCACAAGCUGCAUCUGCUGACAAGCACACUCCUGUUCCUGAUCAGCCAUCUCCACCACUUCUUAAGGAGAGGCCAGACAUCCAUUCCCUGCCGGAAUGUUAAGUCAUAUGCGAUUGCCUGUUCUACCUGCCCCACCUGCCUGCCAGUUCCAAGCCUCUGGAGCCACUAGAAGAUCCAAUCCAGCCAGCCAUGCCAGCCCCAGCCCUCACUUUCCAACUGCUUGGAAGGAAACUCCCUGCUUCCUCAGUUUACCCACUCUGCCUUUAUCAAUAAACUGUUAAAACUGC